GGCUCCCUGUAAAAUUAAGAUAGGGAGUCGGACCUGCCCAGUGAGGAUUUCAACGGCCGCGGUAUUCUGACCGUGCAAAGGUAGCAUAAUCAUUUGCCUUAUAAUUGAAGGCUGGAAUGAAUGGUUUAACAAGAAUAUAACUGUCUCUUUAUGAUUUUAUAGAAUUUUAUAUCUAGGUGAAGAAGCCUAGUUACAAUUAAAAGACAAGAAGACCCUAUCGAGCUUAAAAAAAAUCGGUAGGCCACACAGUAAUAUAACUAAAAACUCUUCUACUGAAAAUUUUAGUUGGGGCAACUGAGGAACAAAGCUUCCUUGAAAAUUUAAAUUUACACAGAAAAUGAUCCAAAAUUUUUGAUUAAGGAAAUUAGUUACCGUAGGGAUAACAGCAUAAUCCUUUUUUAGAGUUCUAAUCGAAAAAGGGGUUUGUGACCUCGAUGUUGGAUCAGAAUAUCCUAAAGAUGCAGUAGUCUUUAAGGGUUGGUCUGUUCGACCAUUAAAAUUCUACG
rnacentral:rRNA from 1 species